CUAAGGCCGAUGGCGACCGGCGCACGGGUGAGUAACACGUAUCCAACCUGCCGGUAACUCGGGGAUAGCCUUUCGAAAGAAAGAUUAAUACCCGAUGGCAUAAUUAGACCGCAUGGUUUGAUUAUUAAAGAAUUUCGGUUAUCGAUGGGGAUGCGUUCCAUUAGGCAGUUGGUGAGGUAACGGCUCACCGAACCUUCGAUGGAUAGGGGUUCUGAGAGGAAGGUCCCCCACAUUGGAACUGAGACACGGUCCAA
rnacentral:rRNA from 1 species